rnacentral:lncRNA from 1 species
AGUAAUUAGCACCAAUGCAUAUGUACUCAGAGACAAAUAUUCAAAUAAAAAAUUUACUUGUAUAUGCUGAUUAAUAUUGUAAUACAUGUAGUUUCUAUUUACAAGUAUCAUUGGAAUACUUUACAACAUAACUUGUUUGAUUGGACUUAAUAAUAGAUACUUUAUAAUAGUUACUAAUUGCAUCAUGACAAAUAGCUUCUUUAGUUUAUUAAUACUACUAAAAAUAAUAUCCAAAAUAAGAAGAUUGGCUAUUUUGAAGUAUGAUUCUUACUUGAAAAAUGCUUGAGCAAAUAAACUUGUAAGAAAUCUAGAACUUGACAACCAUGCACAAUAUUCAAGAACAUGCUAGUUUUUUUAAAAAAUAAAAUAAAAAGGACCUUAAGGCUUCUUGCAAGGUUUUUAAUCUCCUUCCACUCUCUCAAAUCAAAGUUUGUCAACUACCUUGUAUCAAAAGGAUUGGCUUAAUAAAAAAUUAAAGAUAUACCAUUGCUUAUUACUUGACAAUAAAUGGAUAUUUCACUUUUUGAUUUUCUAAUUCCAAAGGUUACUAGACAACUCCAUUGCAUGAAUCACAAAUGAUAGGAUGUUUAGUUGCAAGUCUAGUUAUGUCUUUGAAUUGUCUCCAAAGCCACUUGUUCAUUGUUUUUUAUUAUCUAAAAAGAGCUUUAAUAAGAUAUUAAAAUGAAUUUUUUAAUUGAUUGAGGACCAAUUUAUCAAUCACCAUCUUAGAAGAUGUAGAAAAGAAGAAAUUCAAAAUAAAAUCAAAUAAAAAAAAACUAUGCUUUGGAUUGACAUUACUGCAAGUGGUGAAAUUGCCAACUAGUCUAGUAAUAUUAUAAUUGAUCUAUUACAAUUACCAAUGAUCAAAAUAAUUAGAGUAUAAUUUGAAUACACCUCUAAACUCCCAUGCAUUUGAAUACACCUCUAAACUCCCAUGCAUUUGAAUACACCUCUAAACUCCCAUGCAUUUGCACAGAAAUUAACAAACUAAUAACAAUCAACACCACUCUACUCAUAGAAAUCACAUUGCUCAAUCACAAAUGAGUCAAAAGAGUAUGCAAAUCUGAUCCGUCAAUACCCAAAUUCAGAUCCUCUCUCAAAUUUACCAAUGAACACC